rnacentral:lncRNA from 10 species
AAAAGCUUUUGCUAUAACACGAAAAGAGGGACAGCUACACACACAGCUUUUUUGCUUCCUGUCUGGAAUGUAGACAUGAUACAGCAGCCAUCUAGUGAUGAAGGGGUGACAAGCCAGAGACCAUGGAUGGAGGAGUAAUAUGUAAAGUCCCUGUGUUCCUGAUGACAUUGGGGCCUGGCUAGAGUCACUGUUUCUCUCUGCAAACUGGCCAUUUCCAUUUCCACCGUCUUUUGCUGCCAACACGGAGAAGAGCUUCUGUGCUACAGCCGAGCCACAUUUUGGUGCACGAAGAUGUGCGGGUUGCCUGAGGAUUCUAAGCAGCAGUUCUAGUACGUUUUCCACAGGCAAAAUGCACUUGAGGCUCCAAACUACCAGCUUUGAUCAACUGUUAUGUGAGGCACAAAGAUGAAUUCCAGAUGGCAUCAACUCCACCAGCCUGGGUACUUGGGUGAUUGUAUGGACCAAGUCUCUCUCCCUUCUCUCCCCCAUACUACACUGGCAUGAGAAAUAAACUUUUGUGCUGAAGUCACUAUGGUCCAGUGGUUCUCAAACUUUGCUACUUACUAUA